UGAACAGGUGCCCUGGGUGUGGCUGUGAGUGUGAAAGGGCCUGGUCGCAGAUGUGUGGACCUAGAGCAGCAGUUCUGAAAGCAUGGCCCCAGACUCCCAGCAUCAGCGUUACCGGAGAAUUUCCCAGCCCAGACAUCCCUGUUUUAACAAGUCCUCCAAGUGAUUUGGACGCACCCUACAAUUAAGAACCAUGUGUCUAGAGCAGAGUUCAGAGGAUGAGCAAUCUGAUUGUGGUCCUUGGUGUUCAUUCUGCCUCUGCCCACCAGCUCAGUCUGACCCUGGGGCAGGUGCUAUAAUUCCUAACCCCUCCCUUCCUGGGGGUUCAGUACCUAAGGCUUCCUGCAAGUGGCAUGCAAGAGAGCCGAUAUGGAUCUGUGACAGGUGUUUCUCAAAGUGGGAUCCCCCAGACCCUCAAUAAGAAGCUUGUUCCUAAUCCCACAUAACAUCUGCAUGUUUGACAAGCUCCCAAGAUACUUCUUGAGCACAGGAAAUCUGAGGACUGGCCUGAAGGGUGCAGCGUGCCCAGGGUCAAAUCUGGUGUCCCCGUUAGCUUUUCCCUGUGGUCCUUCGGUUGCAUGGCACUGUGUCUCUGCUAAGCCCACACUCUAGUUCCCCUGAUGGUCCCAACUCAUCAUUAAUCUAGUAAAACGCUCCUCCUCUGUAGCCUUUCCAUUUUUUGACUGAUAGAGGAUAGGGAAAAGAGGAAGAUAAGAGACUCACUGGCUUAGUUAUAAGGUCCUGAACCCAAAGUCAGGACAAGUGGAUUCAGGUCCUGAGUUUAUCUGUUAGGAGCUGUGUGUGCUUGGGCAGACCAGAAAUCCUGAAUCUCCGUGUUCAGACGCCCACUGUGAAGGGCACAGACCAGUGACCCUGAAGGCCUCUCCUGUCAUAAAUACCAGUGUCAGCGCUUUUCCAGAAAGAGCAGGGAGGUGGUUACAGGGAGGGGAACCUGUUGCUUGUUUUGCAUCAAGGGAGUAAAAUUAUAGUGAGGCUGGUUUGGCAGCUUUGAGCAGGCCCAGCCUGGUGAACAUCUUGUGGCAAAAAUUUAUAGGAAUGUUGGGCAUGGCGACACAGAUAAAAGGCAGUACUAAGGCCUCUACUUA
rnacentral:lncRNA from 1 species